GAUUUUCCAGAGCCGGCCUCAUUUCAGAUGUUUAAUUCUUGUAUACUCAUAAACCACAUGCUCUGCUUUUUAUAUUGAAAGCGUGGUUUCCGUAAUCGCUGGAUGUUGCUGGGCUCAGAGUUGUUAUUUUUCAUGCAUGCAUCACUCCCUUUCCUGUACCUGCCUCGUGCCCAUCUCUGUGUUAUAUGCUGUAAAUAUGAAAAGGAAGGAGAAACUACUCACCUUUGGAAAUCUCAAGAACCAGUAGGGGAAGGUGCAAGUAAAAAAUGUGAUACCAUCUGAUAGAUAGAGCAGUAACAGAGU
rnacentral:lncRNA from 1 species